ensembl:lncRNA
CAUGCUGCUAGCUGUCUUAUGAUAGGGCAGAGGUCACGGGUGGGCGGGAAUUCGUCAAGUCUAAAUGAAAGAAUGGGAAAAAUCCCCUUCUCAAUAAUAAAUAAAGAGAGAACCCCAACACUACGCCACAGGACCACUGGAAAAAGACAAUAUACAACAAAUACCAACAAAUUAAUUCUAGCGUCCGUCUGAUCUUCAUUUAAUAACGAUGAAGAACAACAAACAUCAGCAAUGAACAUUCAGGUUAAUCAUUUUAUAUCUGUAUUGAAAUGUUUGUAUUUUGUUAAGUAAUAGUCCAAAUUUCUAAUACAUUUUUUAAAUAUAAAUUUGUAUACCUAUUUAAAUACGUAUAGAUGAGCUUAACAGGGGGGGAAAAAAAAGGAUUUCCCAAAAUUGCAGUAAAACCCCCAGACAAAUGAAACACACCGUGUCCCAGACAACGUUUUGUAUUUUGUUAUACCACAUUUCUGAUUUAAUAAAUAAAUAAAUAGACGAAUAAAUAAAAUACACACAUCAUGGAGGCCUGCAGAUUUUGUCUGCAGAGGUAGAAGAACAGCAGGUUCUCCAGGGAACAUCUGGCAACCAAAAACAUCUCAUCAAAAACAUCUCAUCAAAAACAUCUAAUAAAAAACAUCUAAUAAAAACAUCUCAUCAAAAACAUCUGAUAACCAAAACAUCUAAUCAAAAAUAUCUAAUCAAGAACAUCUGACAACCAAAAACAUUUGACUGUCAUGUAUCAAGAAACUCUGGACUCCACGUCCCAUCAGCCACUGCACUGCACUAGCUGUCACAUGACCACCUGCACCUGACUCACGUUUUGUUAAUGAGCACUCGUGUGUGUGUGUGUGUGUGUGUGUGUGUGUGUGUGUGUGUGUGUGUGUGUGUUCCAUGUCUGCAGUGUUUGCGUGUCUUUCGUUGUCCUAGACUCUUGUAGUUUAUGUCUCGGUGUUUUGUGUCAUGCCGCAGUGUUAUACCACGUUGUCUUAGUGUCUUUGUCUUAUAGCACGUUUGUUUAAAUAAACGCAUUAUCUGCACUUGCUUCUGCCUCAAC